AGAUCACCGUAAACCUGAGGCCUUCUGAAGCAUGGGUCCUCUCUCUGGGCUGUGAUAAUUCACGAUAAAUCUGCUUCACACAGGCUGCAGUAUCUCUACAUCAACUUGCUACGGUUUGUGGUCCAUCACAUGCUGAAGAGUGGAUAUCUGCUCUGCCAAGAUGUCUUCCAUGGGCAACAGGGAAUCUGCUCUGGCUUCUGGAGCACCUGCUUUCUCUGCUCUGGCAGUGUGUCCUGCAGUACGCAUGUCUUGCAGUUGGACUGAGGCAUCAGUUGGAAGUAGCAGGGCAAGAAGUGGAAGCUGAAGGUGAAGAAGCAAAGUGAAAGAAUGAGAAAACGCAGCACUGAAUAGAAGAAAUGGGGGAAAAGGUUUUAAAAACAGAAGUGCUGCUGCUACAAAGGCUGAUGCUCAAGUUGUACUUCUGCUGGCCAUUAAAGGGAACCAGAGGAGGACUAAGAAAUUUAUGAACUACUUGCAUCCUUGUUCAACAUUCUCAGAAACUGUUGUGAAAUGUGAAUACAAGUGUGUUCUCAAGUCUAUUAAACAGUAGAAGAAGCCAUAGAACUUGCCUUUUUUCUUUCAAGGCUGCUCCCUUGGUUGGCCUUAGUGAUGACUGUGAUCAUCUGCCAAUGAAGCUGUUUUGACUUUGCUUGCACAGUGAGUAUGA